CACGUAGGGCGCAAGCGUUGUCCGGAAUUAUUGGGCGUAAAGAGCUCGUAGGCGGUUUGUCGCGUCGACUGUGAAAACCUGGGGCUUAACUCUGGGCCUGCAGUCGAUACGGGCAGACUUGAGUUCGGUAGGGGAGACUGGAAUUCCUGGUGUAGCGGUGAAAUGCGCAGAUAUCAGGAAGAACACCAAUGGCGAAGGCAGCUCUCUGGGACGGUACUGACGCUGAGACGCGAAAGCGUGGGGAGCGAACAGG
rnacentral:rRNA from 1 species